rnacentral:rRNA from 1 species
UACGGAGGAUCCGAGCGUUAUCCGGAAUUAUUGGGUUUAAAGGGUCCGUAGGCGGGCCAGUAAGUCAGGUGUGAAAGUCUGCGGCUCAACCGUAAAAUUGCCUUUGAUACUGGUGGUCUUGAGUAAUGGUGAGGUGGGCAGAAUUUGUCGUGUAGCGGUGAAAUGCAUAGAUAUUACAGAGAAUACCGAUUGCGAAGGCAGGUCACUAGC